GGCCCGCACAAGCGGUGGAGCAUGUGGUCUAAUUCGAUGAUACGCGAGGAACCUUACCAGGGCUUAAAUGCAGAGCGAAUAGUUUGGAAACAGGCUAGCCUUCGGGCGAUCUGCAAGGUGCUGCAUGGCUGUCGUCAGCUCGUGCCGUGAGGUGUUGGGUUAAGUCCCGCAACGAGCGCAACCCCCUAUCUUUAGUUGCCAGCGAGUAAUGUCGGGGACUCUAAAGAAACUGCCUACGCAAGUAGAGAGGAAGGCGGGGACGACGUCAAGUCAUCACGGCCCUUACGUCCUGGGCCACACACGUGCUACAAUGGUUGGUACAGAGGGCAGCUACCGGGUGACCGGAUGCGAAUCUCUAAAGCCAAUCUCAGUUCGGAUUGGAGUCUGCAACUCGACUCUAUGAAGCUGGAAUCGCUAGUAA
rnacentral:rRNA from 1 species